GGUCCCGCCUGCCCAGUGACUCUUUAAACGGCCGCGGUAUCCUAACCGUGCAAAGGUAGCAUAAUCACUUGUCCCCUAAAUCGGGACUAGAAUGAACGGCUAAAUGAGGACUAAACUGUCUCUUACAGAUUGGCCAAUGAAAUUGAUUUCCCAGUACAAAAGCUGGAAUAUACCCAUAAGACGAGAAGACCCUGUGGAGCUUCAAAACCAAACCACUUAGUAUGUCCCUUGGUUUUUUAGUUGGGGCGACUUCGGAAUACAACAAAACUUCCAAAAAAACUAACUCAUUAAGGUUAACACACCAAAAUCUCCACACAGACCCAGCAAUUAAUUUGUCUGACCAAUGAACCAAGUUACCCCAGGGAUAACAGCGCAAUCUCCUUUUAGAGUCCAUAUCGACAAGGGG
rnacentral:rRNA from 1 species